rnacentral:tRNA from 1 species
AGCCUAUUAGCUCAGCGGAUAGAGCGGCAUUCUUAUAAAAUGUGCGUGCCAAGUUCAACUCUUGGAUAGGCUA